UACAGAGGUCCCAAGCGUUGUUCGGAUUCACUGGGCGUAAAGGGUGCGUAGGCGGUCGGGUAAGUCUGACGUGAAAUCUCCGGGCCUAACCCGGAAACUGCGUUGGAAACUGCCUGGCUAGAGGAAUGGAGGGGAGACUGGAAUACUUGGUGUAGCAGUGAAAUGCGUAGAUAUCAAGUGGAACACCAGUGGCGAAGGCGAGUCUCUGGACAUUUACUGACGCUGAGGCACGAAGGCCAGGGGAGCAAACGGG
rnacentral:rRNA from 1 species